AGGGCUGUUGCUCAGAGGUAGAGCACCUGCUUUGUAUACAGAAGGUCUCAGGUUUGAGCCCUGCCAUCCCCA